UCCGGUUUGGCACCGGCAGUCUCCCUAGAGUCCCCGGCAUAAUCCGCUGGCAACUAAGGACAGGGGUUGCGCUCGUUGCGCCACUUAAGGCAACACCUCACGGCACGAGCUGACGACAGCCAUGCACCACCUGUGCGGGCUCCGUAGAGCGCCCUGUUUCCAGGGCUUUACCCCGCAUGUCAAGCCUAGGUAAGGUUCUUCGCGUUGCGUCGAAUUAAGCCACAUGCUCCGCCGCUUGUGCGGGCCCCCGUCAAUUCCUUUGAGUUCUAGCCUUGCGGCCGUACUCCCCAGGCGGGACGCUUAAUGCGUUAGCUUCGGCACGGAAGGGGUCGAUGUCCCCCCACACCUAGCGUCCAACGUUUACGGCUAGGACUAC
rnacentral:misc_RNA from 1 species